AACACUUGUUAGGAAUUAUAUGUCUUGUCUCUAUGAUAUAGGAAACAACCUUAAGGUCGUUCCUCAUCUGUUUUCUAGUUUCAGAUGAGUGAGUGACUUUCUGCUUUGGGAAAAUAGUACCACAUUGAUUUUGUUUUUGCUGUCUAUGUAAGUAAUAAAAUAGGUAAGUCAGUGAUGUAUAUUUACUAAUGUAACAUAAUAAUAAUGUAGUAAUACACAUAGGCCUGUUAGCCACUGUGUUGCCACAUUAGCGAUGUUUGUGUGUCAUAGGAAAACAUUCACAGGCCAAACAACUCAGCUAGCAUGUGUAUCUUAGGAUAUUCCUUGAGGCUUGUGCCUAUGUCUGGGCAGAAUGGGACCAGAACAGAAUUUCGUAUUGGAAUUAAUCUUGACUGAUUUUCUUAUAUUGUCAGACCAAGUUAAAAGAAAAAAGAUCUCCUUCAUUAGAAAUUUUUGUUCACAAAAUUGAAGGAAGUUUGCUUCUGAAGCUACCCUCUCUACAAACAUAUAUUUGAAUAUUGGUAGGAAAGGAAUAGUGACAGCGUGUGGGCCUAUUCAGAUUAGUGCCCUUUAAAUAUGUUGUUGCCUCCUAUUCAUCAACCCAGUAGACUGUUCAAGCUACAAUACUUUGAAUUUCUCUCUCU
rnacentral:lncRNA from 1 species